CAGUAGCCGCGGUAAUACGGAGGGUGCAAGCGUUAUCCGGAUUCACUGGGUUUAAAGGGUGCGUAGGCGGAUCUGUAAGUCAGUGGUGAAAUCUCCAGGCUUAACCUGGAAACUGCCGUUGAUACUAUAGGUCUUGAAUUUUGUGGAGGUUAGCGGAAUAUGUCAUGUAGCGGUGAAAUGCAUAGAUAUGACAUAGAACACCAAUUGCGAAGGCAGCUGGCUACACAACUAUUGACGCUGAGGCACGAAAGCGUGGGGAUCAAACAGGAUUAGAUACCCGCGUAGUCCCUGUCUCUUAUAC
rnacentral:rRNA from 1 species